rnacentral:rRNA from 1 species
CCUACGGGGUGCACCAGUGGGGAAUUUUCCGCAAUGGGCGAAAGCCUGAUCCAGCCAUGCCGCGUGAGUGAAGAAGGCCUUAGGGUUGUAAAGCUCUUUCACCGGUGAAGAUAAUGACGGUAACCGGAGAAGAAGCCCCGGCUAACUUCGUGCCAGCAGCCGCGGUAAUACGAAGGGGGCUAGCGUUGUUCGGAAUUACUGGGCGUAAAGCGCGCGUAGGCGGAUAGAUAAGUCAGAGGUGAAAUCCCGGGGCUCAACCCCGGAAUUGCCUCUGAUACUGUUUAUCUUGAGUGCAGAAGAGGUAAGUGGAAUUCCGAGUGUAGAGGUGAAAUUCGUAGAUAUUCGGAGGAAUACCGGUGGCGAAGGCGGCCCCCUGGACGAAGACUGACGCUCAGGUGCGAAAGCGUGGGGAGCAAACAGGAUUAGAUACCCGAGUAGUC